UUACCAUAAAUAAAUGUGUCUAUUUCGAUCUAAACUGGACCAAAAACGCAGCUAGUUAUAGCGUUGCUAUUUAAUUUGGAAUCACAAUUUUUCAUAAAGCAUACCAAUAAGGCAUAAAAUAUUUUUUUGGAAGUUUAUUUAUUAUUAUUAUUAUUAUUAUUAUUAUUAAUAAUAAUAAUAAUAAUAAUAAUAAUUAAUAGGUUGUGACAAGUGGCACAACAUUUUGCCAGUCAUAAUACUUUAAAUGGCAAACCAAAAGUCCAGAAUGUUUUCUUUUCCAUUAAGUCACAUGACCUCGAAUAAACUUUUAAAUAGCAAAGUCGUCAGAUAAUCUCAGAUCACACAAACACACGCUUAGGCAUCUAAUCCGUCUUUCACUUAUAAAAAAGUACCAUGGUAAUACCACUUUUGUUUUGCCAUGGUAGUAUGCUACCCUUGUUUUUGGUCAGAGCAUGUAUAAUUGUACUACUUUGUUUUUUUCUGGGACAUGGUACCAUGGUUAUACCAUCAUUUUGUUGGACAUGUGCAAUGUUCACAGUGUACUGCAUAAGGAAACUCUAGGCAAAAUGUGACAAAACAACAUGGCGCCGACCACAGCGGAGUUUGUCUUUGGGAGAAACGGCAAGAAAACUACAUCUAAGGUAGAGAGCAGAUCUGAGGAGAGUUGAUGUCCAGUCUUGUUUGGGUUUAUACUGAAAACCUCUGUUUCAACUCCAAGUAGUUCAAGAGACACAGGCUGAAUGGGCUUCCACCGCU